GUUGGGUUUAAAGAUGGAAAUCAGUCUAUUGAGAAGAGAAGAGUCCAGCAGCAGAGAGCAGACUCCCCUGGACCCAGCUGUGUCUCCAUGAAGAGUGGCCGCUCUAUGGAUAUACCUGUUAGGUUUAAAGAUGGACGGCCCUCCAGAAAGAAGAGACACAAGAAGAGGUCAAAGGUGACCAGUGCUCAGUCUCUACAGCAGCAUCAAACAGAG